rnacentral:tRNA from 1 species
UGGCGGGAUAGCUCAGUUGGCUAGAGCACACGGUUCAUACCCGUGGUGUCGCAAGUUCAAAUCUUGUUCCCGCUAU